rnacentral:rRNA from 1 species
GUGUCAGCAGCCGCGGUAAUACGGAGGGGGCCAGCGUUGUUCGGAAUCAUUGGGCGUAAAGGGCGCGUAGGCGGCCGGGUAAGUCUGACGUGAAAUCCCUUGGCUUAACCAAGGAAUUGCGUCUUAAACUGUCUGGCUUGAGUCCGGGAGAGGGUAGUGGAAUUCCCAGUGUAGCGGUGAAAUGCGUAGAUAUUGGGAGGAACACCGGUGGCGAAGGCGGCUACCUGGACCGGUACUGACGCUGAGGCGCGAAAGCUAGGGUAGCAAACAGGAUUAGAUACCCCUGUAGUCC